rnacentral:ribozyme from 1 species
GAAAAAAGUGAAAGACAUGAUGAAGGAUCAAUUGCUGCAGAUGAUUCAACAAUUGAUGUUUUUGUUUUUUCUUUUUCUUUUGUUUUUUCUUUUUCUUU